UUUGUUUAACGGCCGCGGUAUUCUGACCGUGCGAAGGUAGCGUAAUCACUUGUCUUUUAAAUAGAGACUAGUAUGAAUGGCAUCACGAGGACUUAACUGUCUCCCCCCUCCAAUCAGUGAAACUGAUUUCCACGUACAAAAGCGUGGAUAAACACAUAAGACGAGAAGACCCUAUGGAGCUUAAAACCAAAAACCACCUAUUUAACCUACUAUAUUAAUAUAUUACUAAAAUAAUAGGCCUAGUUUAGGUUUUCAGUUGGGGUGACUGUGGAGAAAAAUUAAUCCUCCAUGUAGACUUAAGCUUAGAGCAACCGCUCUAUGCAUUAGCAAGCCUAACUUUACUUGAUCCAAUAUUUUGAUCAACGGACCAAGUUACCCUAGGGAUAACAGCGCAAUCCAUUUCAAGAGUCCAUAUCGACAAAUGGGUUUACGACCUCGAUGUUGGAUUAGGACAUCCAAGUGGUGCAGCCGCUACUAAGGGUUCGUUUGUUCAACGAUUAAAGUCCUACGUGAUCU
rnacentral:rRNA from 1 species